rnacentral:rRNA from 1 species
AUGGCCGACUUCGUCGAGAAAAUCAUGGGCUGGCUCCCUGGCGGUGGAAAUGCCGUGGCAAGUGCCACCUCCCUCACCCCCGUCGUUGAGUACGACGGCGAGGACCGCAUCAGCGUCCUCCCCGACGACCUCCUCCGCAACAUCGUCUCCCGCCUCCCCGUCAAGGACGCCGCCCGAACCGCCGCCCUCGCCUCCAGGUGGCGCCACCUCUGGCGCUCCACCCCGCUCAUCCUCAGCGACGCCGACCUGUCCCCCUCUGCGGUCGCUCGCGUCCUCGCAGACCACCCGGGCCCUUUCCGCGUCGCCCACAUCGCCCGCUGCAGGUUCGCAUCCCGCGGGCGUGAGCUCGCGGAGUGGCUGGGCCUCCUCGCCGCCAAGGGCAUCCAGGACCUCGUCCUCGUCAACGACGAGGAGCUCCCCACCGACAUCCUCCGCUGCGCCUCACUCCAGCGCCUCUUCCUGGGAUUCUUUACGUUCCCGGACACCUCUGAUCUCUCCCUCCGUGCUGACGUGCUGCCUCGCAUUCAGGAGCUCGGCAUGUCCGCUUGCAGCAUCAGCGAAUGGGACCUGCUCUACAUGCUCGAUUGCAGCCCGGUUCUGGAGAAGCUCACGUUCGUAUUCAGCGGUACGCCCGAUGCCUUCCACCUCCGCUGCAAGAGCCUCAGGUGCGUGGUCCUCUGGUGUUUUGCGGCAUUCAUAGUCGAUGUGACGGACGCCCUGCUCCUGGAGCGGCUCUUCCUGCUGGAAGCGCCCCGCAGAGGUGACGACUGGAGUAUUGUGAUGAUCAAGAUUGCUUGUGUGUCCAACCUGCGGGCACUCGGCUUCUUGGAGCCAAGAUUUCACCGGCUGAAGAUCGGCGACAAUGACAUCAAUCCUGGCACAGUGUGCCGAGCCCAAGUACAGUGGUUCCAAGCGUCAAGAUAUUGGCUUUGA